UACGUAGGGGGCAAGCGUUGUCCGGAAUCAUUGGGCGUAAAGAGCGUGUAGGCGGUCCGGUAAGUCGGCUGUGAAAGUCCAGGGCUCAACCCUGGGAUGCCGGUCGAUACUGCCGGACUAGAGUUCGGAAGAGGCGAGUGGAUUUCCCGGUGUAGCGGUGAAAUGCGCAGAUAUCGGGAGGAACACCUAUGGCGAAGGCAGCUCGCUGGGACGUUACUGACGCUGAGACGCGAAAGCAUGGGGAGCAAACAGG
rnacentral:rRNA from 1 species